UACAGAGGGUGCAAGCGUUGUUCGGAAUUAUUGGGCGUAAAGGGCGCGUAGGCGGUGCCACAAGUCACCUGUGAAAUCUCCGGGCUUAACUCGGAGCCUGCAGGCGAAACUGUGGUGCUGGAGUGUGGGAGAGGUUAACGGAACUCCCUGUGGAGCGGUGAAAUGCGUAGAUAUAGGGAAGAACACCAAUAAAGGCGAAGGCAGUUAACUAUUCUAUUCCUGACAUUGAGGCAUGAAAGCGUGGGGAGCAAAACGG
rnacentral:rRNA from 1 species